GAUGAACGCUGGCGGCGUGCCUAAUACAUGCAAGUCGAGCGAACGGACGAGAAGCUUGCUUUUCUGAUGUUAGCGGCGGACGGGUGAGUAACACGUGGAUAACCUACCUAUAAGACUGGGAUAACUUCGGGAAACCGGAGCUAAUGCCGGAUAAUAUUUUGAACCGCAUGGUUCAAAAGUGAAAGACGGUCUUGCUGUCACUUAUAGAUGGAUCCGCGCUGCAUUAGCUAGUUGGUAAGGUAACGGCUUACCAAGGCAACGAUGCAUAGCCGACCUGAGAGGGUGAUCGGCCACACUGGAACUGAGACACGGUCCAGACUCCUACGGGAGGCAGCAGUAGGGAAUCUUCCGCAAUGGGCGAAAGCCUGACGGAGCAACGCCGCGUGAGUGAUGAAGGUCUUCGGAUCGUAAAACUCUGUUAUUAGGGAAGAACAUAUGUGUAAGUAACUGUGCACAUCUUGACGGUACCUAAUCAGAAAGCCACGGCUAACUACGUGCCAGCAGCCGCGGUAAUACGUAGGUGGCAAGCGUUAUCCGGAAUUAUUGGGCGUAAAGCGCGCGUAGGCGGUUUUUUAAGUCUGAUGUGAAAGCCCACGGCUCAACCGUGGAGGGUCAUUGGAAACUGGAAAACUUGAGUGCAGAAGAGGAAAGUGGAAUUCCAUGUGUAGCGGUGAAAUGCGCAGAGAUGUGGAGGAACACCAGUGGCGAAGGCGACUUUCUGGUCUGUAACUGACGCUGAUGUGCGAAAGCGUGGGGAUCAAACAGGAUUAGAUACCCUGGUAGUCCACGCCGUAAACGAUGAGUGCUAAGUGUUAGGGGGUUUCCGCCCCUUAGUGCUGCAGCUAACGCAUUAAGCACUCCGCCUGGGGAGUACGACCGCAAGGUUGAAACUCAAAGGAAUUGACGGGGGCCCGCACAAGCGGUGGAGCAUGUGGUUUAAUUCGAAGCAACGCGAAGAACCUUACCAAAUCUUGACAUCCUUUGACAACUCUAGAGAUAGAGCCUUCCCCUUCGGGGGACAAAGUGACAGGUGGUGCAUGGUUGUCGUCAGCUCGUGUCGUGAGAUGUUGGGUUAAGUCCCGCAACGAGCGCAACCCUUAAGCUUAGUUGCCAUCAUUAAGUUGGGCACUCUAAGUUGGCUGCCGGUGACAAACCGGAGGAAGGUGGGGAUGACGUCAAAUCAUCAUGCCCCUUAUGAUUUGGGCUACACACGUGCUACAAUGGACAAUACAAAGGGCAGCGAAACCGCGAGGUCAAGCAAAUCCCAUAAAGUUGUUCUCAGUUCGGAUUGUAGUCUGCAACUCGACUACAUGAAGCUGGAAUCGCUAGUAAUCGUAGAUCAGCAUGCUACGGUGAAUACGUUCCCGGGUCU
rnacentral:rRNA from 1 species